rnacentral:rRNA from 1 species
AUUUGCUGACGAGUGGCGGACGGGUGAGUAAUGCUUGGGAACUUGCCUUUGGGAGGGGGAUAACAGUUGGAAACGACUGCUAAUACCGCAUAACGUCUACGGACCAAAGGGGGCUUCGGCUCCUACCUGAAGAGAGGCCCAAGUGAGAUUAGCUAGUUGGUGAGGUAAAGGCUCACCAAGGCGACGAUCUCUAGCUGUUCUGAGAGGAAGAUCAGCCACACUGGGACUGAGACACGGCCCAGACUCCUACGGGAGGCAGCAGUGGGGAAUAUUGCACAAUGGGGGAAACCCUGAUGCAGCCAUGCCGCGUGUGUGAAGAAGGCCUUCGGGUUGUAAAGCACUUUCAGUUGUGAGGAAAGGUUGGUAAUUAAUACCUGCCAGCUGUGACGUUAACAACAGAAGAAGCACCGGCUAACUCCGUGCCAGCAGCCGCGGUAAUACGGAGGGUGCGAGCGUUAAUCGGAAUUACUGGGCGUAAAGCGGACGCAGGCGGUUUGUUAAGCUAGAUGUGAAAGCCCCGGGCUCAACCUGGGAUGGUCAUUUAGAACUGGCAGACUAAAGUCUUGGAGAGGGGAGUGGAAUUCCAGGUGUAGCGGUGAAA